rnacentral:lncRNA from 1 species
UCGAAUUUUCAACAUCUGUCAACUUCUUACUGAGAAUAUAGUUAUCUUCAAUAAUUGUUAAUACUUCAUUUUUCAAUGCUGUUACUUUCUUCUUCAAACGGCUAAUUUGUUCGAGGAGUUCGAUAAUGUAUUCCUUUUCUCAUUCACAUAUCUCUGUAUCACGCCAACAAAAAAAAAUCACAACCGUUUCUUUUGUAAUUUAUGCAGCCAUAAAAAC